rnacentral:rRNA from 1 species
CAGUCGAACGAAACUUCUUUAUCACCGAGUGCUUGCACUCACCGAUAAAGAGUUGAGUGGCGAACGGGUGAGUAACACGUGGGCAACCUGCCCAAAAGAGGGGGAUAACACUUGGAAACAGGUGCUAAUACCGCAUAACCAUAGUUACCGCAUGGUAACUAUGUAAAAGGUGGCUAUGCUACCGCUUUUGGAUGGGCCCGCGGCGCAUUAGCUAGUUGGUGGGGUAAAGGCUUACCAAGGCAAUGAUGCGUAGCCGAACUGAGAGGUUGAUCGGCCACAUUGGGACUGAGACACGGCCCAAACUCCUACGGGAGGCAGCAGUAGGGAAUCUUCCACAAUGGGCGAAAGCCUGAUGGAGCAACGCCGCGUGGGUGAAGAAGGUCUUCGGAUCGUAAAACCCUGUUGUUAGAGAAGAAAGUGCGUGAGAGUAACUGUUCACGUUUCGACGGUAUCUAACCAGAAAGCCACGGCUAACUACGUGCCAGCAGCCGCGGUAAUACGUAGGUGGCAAGCGUUAUCCGGAUUUAUUGGGCGUAAAGGGAACGCAGGCGGUCUUUUAAGUCUGAUGUGAAAGCCUUCGGCUUAACCGGAGUAGUGCAUUGGAAACUGGGAGACUUGAGUGCAGAAGAGGAGAGUGGAACUCCAUGUGUAGCGGUGAAAUGCGUAGAUAUAUGGAAGAACACCAGUGGCGAAAGCGGCUCUCUGGUCUGUAACUGACGCUGAGGUUCGAAAGCGUGNGUAGCAAACAGGAUUAGAUACCCUGNUAGUCCACGCCGUAAACG